rnacentral:rRNA from 1 species
GACGAACGCUGGCGGCGUGCUUAACACAUGCAAGUCGAACGGAAAGGCCCUGCUUUUGUGGGGUGCUCGAGUGGCGAACGGGUGAGUAACACGUGAGUAACCUGCCCUUGACUUUGGGAUAACUUCAGGAAACUGGGGCUAAUACCGGAUAGGAGCUCCUGCUGCAUGGUGGGGGUUGGAAAGUUUCGGCGGUUGUGGAUGGACUGGCGGCUUAUCAGCUUGUUGGUUGGGUAGUUGCUUACCAAGGCUUUGACGGGUAGCCGGCCUGAGAGGGUGACCGGCCACAUUGGGACUGAGAUACGGCGCAGACUCCUACGGGAGGCAGCAGUGGCAAAUAUUGCACAAUGGGCGGAAGCCUGAUGCAGCAACGCCGCGUGCGGGAUGACGGCCUUCGGGUUGUAAACCGCUUUCGCCUGUGACGAAGCGUGAGUGACGGUAAUGGGUAAAGAAGCACCGGCUAACUACGUG